CCUACGGGAGGCUGCAGUGAGGAAUAUUGGUCAAUGGACGAGAGUCUGAACCAGCCAAGUCGCGUGAAGGAUGACUGUCCUAUGGGUUGUAAACUUCUUUUAUAUGGGAAUAAAAUGUUCCACGUGUGGGAUUUUGUAUGUACCAUAUGAAUAAGGAUCGGCUAACUCCGUGCCAGCAGCCGCGGUAAUACGGAGGAUCCGAGCGUUAUCCGGAUUUAUUGGGUUUAAAGGGUGCGUAGGUGGAUUGUUAAGUCAGUUGUGAAAGUUUGCGGCUCAACCGUAAAAUUGCAGUUGAAACUGGCAGUCUUGAGUACGGUAGAGGUGGGCGGAAUUCGUGGUGUAGCGGUGAAAUGCUUAGAUAUCACGAAGAACUCCGAUUGCGAAGGCAGCUCACUGGACUGCAACUGACACUGAGGCUCGAAAGUGUGGGUAGCAAACAGGAUUAGAUACCCGUGUAGUC
rnacentral:rRNA from 1 species